UACGUAGGGUCCGAGCGUUGUCCGGAGUUACUGGGCGUAAAGCGCGCGCAGGCGGCGGUGUUGGCCCGGCGUGAAAGCCCCGGCUCAACCGGGGAGAGUCGUCGGGGACCGCACCGCUUGAGGGCGGUAGGGGCUGGUGGAAUGCCUGGUGUAGUGGUGAAAUGCGUAGAGAUCAGGCAGAACACCUGGGGCGAAGGCGGCCAGCUGGGCCGUCCCUGACGCUGAGGCGCGAAGGCGUGGGGAGCAAACAGG
rnacentral:rRNA from 1 species